rnacentral:rRNA from 1 species
GUGCCAGCCGCCGCGGUAAUACCGGCAGCCCGAGUGAUGGCCGAUCUUAUUGGGCCUAAAGCGUCCGUAGCCGGCCGGACAAGUCCGUUGGGAAAUCCACGCGCUCAACGCGUGGGCGUCCAGCGGAGACUGUCCGGCUUGGGGCCGGAAGGUCCGAGGGGUACGUUCGGGGUAGGAGUGAAAUCCCAUAAUCCCGCACGGACCACCGAUGGCGAAAGCACUUCGAGAAAACGGAUCCGACAGUGAGGGACGAAAGCCAGGGUCUCCAACCGGAUUAGAUACCCGAGUAGUCC